ensembl:lncRNA
AAAAUCCCCUAAAACCCCAUAGAACCCCAUAGGACCCCAUAGGUGCGGUGGGGGCGGGGCGGCCGCUCACCUUUGUCCCUUCGGGGUGGGGUUGGGGUGGGUGACCCCAUAGAACCCCAUAGAACCCCCUAAAAUCCCCUAAAACCCCAUAGAACCCCAUAACCCCCCCUAAGACCCCAUAACCCCCCUAAAACCCCAUAUAAAACCCCAUAGGACCCCAUAAGUGCGGUGGGGGCGGGGCGGCCGCUCACCUUUGUCCCUUUGGGGUGGGGU